UCCCAUGUGGCUCAGUUGGUAGAGCAUGGUGUUUGCAACGCCAGGGUUGUGGGUUCGAUUUCCACGGGGGAC
rnacentral:tRNA from 1 species